GCGAUAAGUAGACCGCCUGGGGAGUACGGUCGCAAGACUAAAACUCAAAUGAAUUGACGGGGGCCCGCACAAGCGGUGGAGCAUGUGGUUUAAUUCGAUGCAACGCGAAGAACCUUACCUGGCCUUGACAUACUAAGAACUUUCCAGAGAUGGAUUGGUGCCUUCGGGAACUUAGAUACAGGUGCUGCAUGGCUGUCGUCAGCUCGUGUCGUGAGAUGUUGGGUUAAGUCCCGCAACGAGCGCAACCCUUUUCCUUAUUUGCCAGCGGGUCAUGCCGGGAACUUUAAGGAUACUGCCAGUGACAAACUGGAGGAAGGCGGGGACGACGUCAAGUCAUCAUGGCCCUUACGGCCAGGGCUACACACGUGCUACAAUGGUCGGUACAAAGGGUUGCUACCUCGCGAGAGGAUGCUAAUCUCAAAAAGCCGAUCGUAGUCCGGAUCGCAGUCUGCAACUCGACUGCGUGAAGUCGGAAUCGCUAGUAAUCGCGGAUCAGAAUGCCGCGGUGAAUACGUUCCCGGGCCUUGUACACACCGCCCGU
rnacentral:rRNA from 1 species